rnacentral:miRNA from 1 species
GCGCGGGCAAAGCGACUGCAAUGGAAAAUUGCCUUAAUGGCCGUUUUCCAUUGCAGUCGCCUUGCCCGCGC